AAAAAUUAUGUAAGAUUCUCAUAAAGAGAAUAUUCCAGCACUAGCUGUUGCUGGCUCAUUCUUUUGAGCAGCCCGCUCUGUCUCAUCUUUCAGAGUGUGUACUCUCUCUUUAAAUGAACACUACUACGACUACUAUUACUACUACCACUACUACUACUACUAAUAUUCCAACUGGACCUGCCUGGGGCUGUUUUCCACUCCUCUCUAGGAAGGUACUUAUCUACCUUCAAUAAACUCUGCUACCUAACCAUUGCUAUGCAUCUAUUGUCUGAAUUCUAUCUUUCAAGUUAGGCAAGAACCAAGGAUUACCACACUUCCUGGUCACAUACUGUGGUGCUGUGGCUCAGACGGCCUUUCCUGUGAACUUUUCUCCGAGAACCAAAGGGAAAAAAACUCUCGAAUUCAAGAAAAAAUGUAUCAUUGAUGAGUUGCAAAAGUGAGAAUGCCUGAACACUUCUCAACAGCUCCUUCUUCAACUGACCUGAAAUCCAGCACUGCCAAGCUGAGAUCUGCAGCCAGCACUCAAGUGGGAGAGGAGCCCACACAGAACACUAAGAGGGAGAA
rnacentral:lncRNA from 1 species